rnacentral:rRNA from 1 species
CAACGCGAACAACAUUACCGAAUAAUGACUUCCUCUGACCCACUUGGAGACAGGGGGUCCCUUAGGGACAGAGUGACAGGUGGUGCAUGGUUGUCGUCAGCUCGUGUCGUGAGAUGUUGGGUUAAGUCCCGCAACGAGCGCAACCCUUAUCAUUAGUUGCCAGCAUUCAGUUGGGCACUGUAAUGAGACUGCCGGUGACAAACCGGAGGAAGGUGGGGAUGACGUCAAAUCAUCAUGCCCCUUAUGAUUUGGGCUACACACGUGCUACAAUGGACAGGUUACAAAGGGCAGCUACGCCGCGAGGCCAAGCGAAUCCCAUAAAACUGUUCUCAGUUCGGAUUGGAGUCUGCAACUCGACUCCAUGAAGCUGGAAUCGCUAGUAAUCGUGGAUCAGAAUGCCACGGUGAAUACGUUCCCGGGUCUUGUACACACCGCCCGUCACACCACGAAAGUCGGUAACACCUGAAGCCGGUGGGCCAACCUCUUGGAGGCAGCCGUCGAAGGUGGGACCGAUGUUUAGGGUGAAGUCGAACAAUGACGCUUGCCCGCAAG